rnacentral:rRNA from 1 species
UACGGAGGGUGCAAGCGUUAUCCGGAUUCACUGGGUUUAAAGGGUGCGUAGGUGGGAAGGUAAGUCAGUGGUGAAAUCCCCGAGCUUAACUUGGGAACUGCCAUUGAUACUAUCUUUCUUGAAUACCUUGGAGGUGAGCGGAAUAUGUCAUGUAGCGGUGAAAUGCUUAGAUAUGACAUAGAACACCAAUUGCGAAGGCAGCUUACUACCCGAAUAUUGACACUGAGGCACGAAAGCGUGGGGAUCAAACAGG